rnacentral:lncRNA from 1 species
UUACUUUCAUACAUUGCAUAAAGGCCCAUUGCAAUUGUCCUGACUCUCAUUUCAGAAAAUCAAAGAAAUCUAUAUGUCAGCCAGGCACAUGAGUGUUGCUCAUCCAGUGUACAGGGCUUGACGAUCUGACUGAGCACAGCCAUCGUGGACACAAAACUUCUUUAUGUAAGAAGAAAACUGCAAUAGCAGCACUUUCACAUUUCAUCUGUUGUCACCAAAAACAGGAAUUAGGUGAAAGACUGGCACUUUGCAAAUUCCUUAACUCGAUGUUUCUAGUGCUGGGAACAAGGUGAUGAGAUUUGCCAGCCCUGGGGAUCUCUGAGGUCUGCAGGAGGUCCAAACAGAAGCCAGACAAGCUAUUAUCACACCAUGUCUGACCGCAGAUCACAAAAUAGCCCCUUCUUUUGAGGUUGUAGCCCAGCUAUGAAGACACGUGAGCUAUGUGUGGUUAG